UUUUCUUUCUUUAUUUUCUUUUAUUUUCUUUUUCUCCUCCUCCCUCUGGUGGCGCCACCACCUCCUCCGUUUUUCUUUCCAGAGUUUUCCCGCCUCUUCGCCUCCAUCCUCUCUCUCUCUCUCUCUCUCUCGCCCCCCCCCCUCCUACGUCUCCACCGGAAUCCCUAGCCCCUCUGUGGUGGCUUUAAAUUCUGUCUUUUGAGUUUUCACAUGCUUCUUUUUUCUAGAAGCCAACUAUGUUUUUUUUCUCUUGAUCAAGUCACCAUGUAUUUAGUUUCCCAUUCAUACUUACUAAGUAUUCCUCCCGCUUUUCAAGAGAGGGAGGCACCUAUUUUAUGGCAUCUUAGUUUUUAUAUUCUUAUAAUUAAGUAAGCUCUGUGAUAACUGAAUUAUGUCGCCAAUAGUUAUAUAAGUUCUGCAUUUUUCUACACUUGUUAUUGGCAUGCUAUCCAUGUGAUUUUGUGUUGAUUAUGGUGGGAUAUAGAAUCACCGUUCCUGUAAUUUAUGCAUUACACAGUAAGUCAUGGAUCUCCUCUCCAUUAUGUUUAAGUGCACUUAGUUUUGAGAGUUCCUCCCUCUUCAUCUUCGCCUUCUCUGCUUUCUAAUUGCUGGGCUUUUUGUUUUCAAGAUUCUUUUUUAAGGGUUUCUUGAAUUUUUGAGAGAUUUUAAAGUAGAUUUAGGUGGAGAGUCAAGGAAGUGGGGAACUUGGUUCAGCCUCCCUCUCUCCCUUUUCUUCAGUAUAUCUUCAACAGUUUUGAACUUGGUUGCGAUUGACUAAUUAAUUUAAUUUGUUUUUUUCAUUUUUAUUUCUACUCUCAUUUAAUUUGGGAUGCUCUGGUCUUUUGCUGACAUUUACAUCCUUGUUUUCUGUACAUCAUGAUAGUGACACCACUACUUUUGCCUCCAUUUUUAAUUAGUCAUGCCUUUCAUGGUAGAUGCUGUUUCUAGGUCUCUGUUGGUCUAAAGUCUAAACUGUGGAUGAAAUAGUCUGCUGGAUGAUCGCACUUCAUGUCAUUGUAUCUGGCAUUGAUAAAUAAUUAAUUUUCAAUCCAACAAUAUUUUUUGGGUAUGGUAAUGUGCAUUUUGUUGUUUUAAUUCGUUGUUCAGUAAGCAUUAUUUAGUUGAUCUCACCUAAGUUUAAUCUUCACGUGAUGCUACAGGCCUUAAAGCAUUUAUGUCAUAACUUAUAUUAAUUGCAGUUGGGUUCUAAAGUAUCUCUGUUCCUUUUUUAUUCUUAUCAUAUCCACAACUGAAGUGACAUAACAAAAUCCUGACCAUAAAUAGAUGGGCUCUUUUACAUGGACUACCGGUUUAUUUGUGAAUCUUAUUGUACUAUUAUUUUUCUGCAAUUCUUUUAGGUCUCUUGUUAUUAAGUUAAUUGAAAUGCCUGCUUCACUAUUGGAAAACUUUUUCUCCCAUUUGUUGCGUUUGAAUCUUGACAAAUUAAUUUAAGUUGUUUUUUCAUUUUUUUUUCUGCCCUCAGUUAAUUUGGAUGCUCUGGUCUUUUACUGACAUUUACAUCCUUGUUUUCUGUACAUCAUGAUAGGGACACCACUACUUUUGCUCCCAUUUUUAUGUGCUGUGUAUGUUGCUUAAUCUUUUAUUUGACAAAAUUGUUUGGUUCUCUUAGCACAACUUUCAAAUAGUAUCAUUUGCCGUUGCCAUGAGACAAGGACAUGAUCUUCUGAAAAUGCAUUUGCAUAAUCUCAGAACUAUUAGACUAAUCCCUAUACAACUGGGAGAGCGGCAUUGCUUAUGUUUCUUCUAUUUGGCUUUUCUUCUUCUUCAUUGUUUCGCAAACUGGGAGAGCGGCAUUGCUUUUGUGUUCUAUACAAAGAGGCUGGAUGAUUCUUGGAUGAGGGUUUUGCUACAUUUUGAGAGGAAAGUAACUAUUCUCUUGACGGUGAGGCAAUCUUGGAUGGUCUGCUGCUGUUGUUCUGCAAGCAACCGUUUGCAGCUGUUUUGAUUUAUUAGUUGCAGAUCAAUUGGUGAAUCUAAGCCUCUCUCUCCAUCUUCCCCUUCUCUGCUUUCAAAUUGCUGGGAGUUUUGUUUUUCAAUAUUCUUUUUGAGAGAUUUUAAUUUAGAUUUUAAUGUAGAUUUAGGUGGAGAGUGUAGGAACUAGGGAGAUCUUGGUAAAAAUCUCCUCUCCCUCUCUCCCUUUUCUUCAGUAUAUGUUCAAAAGUUUUGAACUUGGUUCUCUCUGGACUUGAAUGAUGGAGAGAUAAUAUUUUGAUCGCUGUUUGUUCAAUCUGGAUUUGGUAUUCUUGGUUGUUGGUGAUAUUCUGUCUAAUUUGGUUCUGGAGGUUAUGUUUAUAUUGCUUCGAUGUGCAAUCUCUCCCUCUUUUCAAUUGUUAAUGUUAUAGCAUGUGAAAUGAUCUCUGACAUGCUAAAUCCAUAGGAAAUCCUAAAUCAUUGAGCUUAAAUGGUUGCUAUAUAGGAUUUCUUCGGAGGCUUAUUUCGCUAAAUGCUAAGACUAGUUCGAUGGUUCUUCAUGUAAAGAGUUUGGAUUAUUUUAUUGCUUCUAUUUCUCUCAUCCUGCUUGGUUGUUGUAGAUAAUUUGUGCUGGUUGUUGUUUUGGUUGGCUGCCAUUGCAUGCUCCAUUUGAUGACAUGUGAAUAAUCAAAUUUUGAGCAAACUUCUUUUAGGUCCGUUAGUCUUGGUGAUGCAAUUGGUUGUCCACCUGCUUUAAUUUGUUGUCGCAAGCACCACAUUUGUGGAAUGCCUGAACAUCAAUUUAAAGUCGGCAUUAUGUGGUUCUGUAUGCUGUUUUUGCCACUGUGACUGAGACACACAUAAAACUUUAGUGUUUUCAUGGAUGUAUUAUAGUAAUUUCUGUGCUUUUGUCGCCUCUUCCUGUCAUGAUAUGAUCAAGCCUUUCAAGGUGGAUAAUGUUUGUUGGUCAUUGUUGGUCUAAACUCUUAAGCUGUGGAUGAAAUAGUUUGGUGCUGGCGGUUAUGUCGUCUUCGGUAGCGGUAGAGCGAGCAGCUUUUGAAUGUCUGCUGUUUCGCAGACAUCCGAGCAGCGGCCAUGGUUAGAAGGGGGGAGGAGAAGACAUUGUGGGAUCUUUUUCCUAGGUCGGCUUCUAGUUCUCUUUCUCAAGAUUUGCUGGUAUUCUAUUUCUUCUCCUCCUACUUGUUCUUGGUCUCCCGGGUGGAUAAUGGUCGCGAUGUUGUGCUUCUUGUUAUCUUUUUCUCUUUGUUUAUGUGCCUUCUCUUUUGCUUUUCUUAUUCUUCUUUGUUUCCCAAAUUGGGAGAGUGGCGCUGCUUUUGGGUUCUUUACAAGGAGGCUAUGAUGAUUCUUGCUCGAGGGUUUCGCUACAAUUGAGAGGAAAGCAGUUAUUCUCUUGACGGCAAGGCAAUCUUGCAGGCAACUAUUUGCAGCCAUUUUGAUUUAUUAGUUGCAGAUCAAUCGGUGAAUCAGAGCCCCCCUCUCCAUCUUCCCCUUCCCUGCUUUCAAAUUGCUGGGAUUUUUGUUUUCAAUAUUCUUUUUACGGUUGUGUUUCCGAGAGAUUUUAAAGUAGAUUUAGGUGGAGAGUGUAGGAAGUGGGGAGAUCUUGGUCAAAGUCUCUCUCCCUCUCUCCCUUUUCUUCAGUAUAUCUUCAAAAGUUUUGAACUUGGUUCAGAUAUUUUAUUUUGUCAACUUUGCUUUAAGUUCUCUCUGGACUUGAAUAAUAGUGAGAUAAUAUUUUGAUCGGUGUUUGUUCAAUCUAGAUUUGGUAUUCUUGGUUGUUGGUGGGACUCCAUCUAAUUUGGUUCUGGAGGUUAUGUUCUAUAUUGUUUUGAUGUGCUUUCUCUCCCUUUUUUCAAUUGUUGACGUUCUGGCAUGUGAAAUGAUCUCUGACAUUCUAAAUCCAUGGGAAAUUCUAAACCAUUGAGCUUAAAAGGUUGCUAUAUAGGAUUUCUUUGGAUGCUUAUUUCGUUAAAUGCUAUGACUAGUUCUCUAGUUCUGCAUAGAAAGAGUUUGGAUAUUUUAUUGCUUCUAUAUCUCUCGUCCUGCUUGGUUGUUGUACAUAAAUUUAUGCUGGUUGUUGUUUCGGUUGGCUGCCAUUGCUUGCUCCGUUUGAUGACACGUAAUUGAUGGUCAUCAAAUUUUGAGCAAACUUUUUUUGGGUCCGGUAGUCUUGGUGAUGCAAUUGGUUGUCCACCUGCUUUAAUAUGUUGUUGCACGCACCACAUUUGUGGAAUGCCCGAACAUCUAUUUAAUGUUGGCAUUAUGUGGUUCUGUAUGCUGUUUUUUGCCGCUGUGACUGAGACACAUAUAACUUUAGUAUUUUCAUGGAUGGAUUAUGGUAAUUUCUUUGCGUUUGUUACCUCUUGCUGUCAACUUUGAAUGAUAUGAUCAACCCUUUUUUGGUAGAUGCUGUCUGUAGGUCCCUGUUGGUCUAAACUGUGGAUGAAAUGGUCUGCUAGUUGAUUGCACUCUCUGUCAUUGUAUUUGUCUUUGAUAAAUAGUUAAUUUUCGGACCAACAAAUUUUUUUUUGGGGCUAUGAUAAUGUGCAUUUUGUUGUUUUAAUUCAUUUUCGAUAAGCAUUAUUCAUUUGAUCUCACCUAAGUUCAAUCUUCACGUGAUGCUACAGGCCUUAAAGCAUUCACGUCAUAAGUUAUAUUAAUUGCAGUUGUGUUCAAAGUAUUUCCGUUCCCUUUUUUAUUUUUAUCAUAUCCACAACUGAAGUGACACAUGUCACGCCCCGGACCCGGAUCCGUGACAUGGCCGUGCUAUUGCCGACUACCGCCCACAAUAGCACGAAGCCUCAUACAUGGGUAACAGGAUAGUCAGACUUGUCAAACUGUCAUAAAUUUAAAAUAUUUGCUGUGUAUCAUAUAAGGUAGUACAGGGUAUUUCUUCUUCCAUCUCUGUGCCAGAGUCUUUUUUCCUCUGUUUUACUGUUGAAACAGAGGGGAGAAACAUUCCACAGAGGAACUUUCCCUCUUUUUAUUUUGUUUAAACCCAUUUAAGUAAAUCAGGUCAUACCUUGCUCCGGGUUGGCUACAGCCGAGCAGUACACCCUUCAAGAAAUCCCUCCUUCCUCUCCUAGGGCUUCAGAGGUUCAGCUCCAUCAACCUUCGGCUCUAGGGUUCGGCUUCUCUGGUACAGUACUCGAGAGGGCUAAGGAAUAAGAGGGUAUAGUAACUCCUAAGUUAAGAAACUGAGAGUUUAAAUAAACUCUGCUUAGGAGGUGACCCUUGGAGAGGCGGCACCCUCUCCUUCCUCCUUGCUCCGGAAGCCUACAGAUGCCCUUUCCCUCAGGCCAGCUGGGCUUGUCCUUUCAACCUGGGUGAGGUGGCAGACUCCCAUUUUGCAUGGAUGAGGGCCCAACAGCUGGUCUUCCCCCCUAUUGGCCAGCGGGGGCCCGUCACUUCAGUCCUCAGGCGUGAGGUGAGGGUUGCCAUCCAUGGGCCCAAUACGGCCCCAUUAACGACCGAGCCCAAAUACCCUUAAACUGGGCCUCAGAAGUAUUGGGCCCAGUUAGUAUCAGGCCCGGAUGUUACAUUCUUUCCCUCUUAAAUAAAUUUCAUCCUCGAAAUUAAUCAUACCUUUAUUCUUAGGUAUGCAGUGUAAUUCUCUAGAAAAACUAACUGAAAUAAAGAAAUGUGCAUGGCCAGAAUCAAACAAAAUCCAUGGGAAAUCCUAAACCAUUGAGCUUAAAAGGUUGCUAUAUAGAAUUUCUUUGGAGGCUUAUUUCGUCAGAUGCUAAGACUAUUUAUCUGGUUCUUCAUAUAAAGAGUUUGGAUUAUUUUAUUGCUUCUAUAUCUCUCAUCUUGCUUGGUUGUUGUACAUAGAUUUGUGCUGGUUGUUGUCUUAGUUCGCUACCAUUGCUUGCUCCAUUUGAUGACAUGUGAACGAUGGUCAUCAAAUUUUGAGCAAACUUUUUUUUGGUUCCAUUAGCCUUGGUGAUUCAAUUGGUUCUGGAGGUUAUGUUCUAUAUUGUUUCAUUGUGCUCUCUCUCCCUCUUUUCAAUUGUUGACGUUCUGGCAUGUGAAAUGAUCUCUGACAUUCUAAAUCCACGGGAAAUUCAAAACCAUUGAGCUUAAAAGGUUGCUAUAUAGGAUUUCUUCGGAUGCUUAUUUCGUUAAAUGCUAGGACUAGUUCUCUAGUUCUUCAUAGAAAGAGUUUGGAUUAUUUUAUUGCUUCUAUAUCUCUCGUCCUGCUUGGUUGUUGUUCAUGAAUUUAUGCUGGUGGUUGUUUCGGUUGGCUGCCAUUGCUUGCUUCGUUUGGUGGCACGUAAUUGAUGGUCAUCAAAUUUUGAGCAAACUUUUUUUGGGUCCGGUAGUCUUGGUGAUGCAAUUGGUUGUCCACCUGCUUUAAUAUGUUGUUGCACGCACCACGUUUGUGGAAUGCCCGAACAUCUAUUUAAUGUAGGCAUUUUGUGGUUUUGUAUGCUGUUUUUUGCCGCUGUGAUUGAGACACAUAACUUUAGUAUUUUCAUGGAUGGAUUCUGGUAAUUUCUUUGCAUUUGUUACCUCUUGCUGUCAACUUUGAAUGGCAUGAUCAACCCUUUUUUGGUAGAUGCUGUCUGUAGGUCCUUGUUGGUCUAAACUGUAGAUAAAAUGGUCUGCUAGUUGAUUGCACUCCCCGUCAUUGUAUCCGUCUUUGAUAAAUAGUUAAUUUUUGGACUAACAAAUUUUUUUUUUUGGGCUAUGAUAAUGUGCAUUUUGUUGUCUUAAUUCAAUGUUCGAUAAGCAUUAUUCAUUUGAUCUCACCUAAGUUCAAUCUUCACGUGAUGCUACAGGCCUUAAAGCAUUCACGUCAUAAGUUAUAUUAAUUGCAGGUGUGUUCAAAGUAUUUCUGUUCCCUUUUUUAUUUUUAUCAUAUCCACAACUGAAGUGACAUAUGUCACGCCCCGGACACGAUCCGCGACACGGCCGUGCUAUUGCCGACUACCGCCCACAAUAGCACGAGCAGUACAACCUUCAAGAAAUCCCUCCUUCCUCUCCUAGGGCUUCAGAGGUUCAGCUCCUUCAACCUUCGGCUCUAGGGUUCGGCUUCUCUGGUACAGUACUCUAGAGGGCUAAGGAAUAAGAGGGUAUAUUAACUCCUAAGUUAAGAAACUGAGAGUUUAAAUAAACUCUGCUUAAGAGGUGACCCUUGGAGAGGUGGCACCCUCUCCUUCCUCCUCGCUUCCGAAGCCUACAGCUGCCCUUUCCCUUUGGCCCGCUGAACUUGUCCUUUCAACCUGGGUGAGAGGUGGCAGACUCCCAUUUUGCAUGGAUGAGGGCCCAACAGCUGGCCUUCCCCCCACUGGCCAGCUGGGGCCCGUCACUUCAGUCCUCAGGCGUGAGGCGAGGGUUGCCAUCCAUGGGCCCAAUACGGCCCCAUUAACGACCUGGCGCAAAUACCCUUAAACUGGGCCUCAAAAGUAUUGAGCCUAGUUAGUAUCGGGCCCGGACAUUUAUUCUUUCCCUCUUAAAUAAAUUUCAUCCUCGAAAUUAAUCAUGCCUCAAUUUUUAGGUAUGCAAUGUAAUUCUCUAGAAAAACUGACUGAAAUAAAGAAAUGUGAAUAGCCAGAAUCAAAUAAAAUCCAUGGUAAAUCCUAAACCAUUGAGCUUAAAAGGUUGCUAUAUAGAAUUUCUUUGGAGGCUUAUUUCGUCAGAUGCUAAGACUAUUUCUCUGGUUCUUCAUAUAAAGAGUUUGGAUUAUUUUAUUGCUUCUAUAUCUCUCAUCUUGCUUCGUUGUUGUACAUAGAUUUGUGCUGGUUGUUGUCUCAGUUCGCUGCCAUUGCUUGCUCCAUUUGAUGACAUGUGAACGAUGGUCAUCAAAUUCUGAGCAAACUUUUUUUGGUUCCGUUAGCCUUGGUGAUUCAAUUGGUUGUCCACCUGUUUUAAUUUGUUGUUGCUCGCACCACGUUUGUAGAAUGCCCCAACAUCUAUUUGAUGUUGGCAUUAUGGGGUUAUGUAUGCUAUUUUUUGCCUUUGUGACUGAGACACAUAUAACUUUAGUGUUUUCAUGGAUCGAUUAUAGUAAUUUCUAUGCUUUUGUUGCCUCUUGCUGUGAACUUUGAAUGAUAUGAUCAAGCCUUUCAUGGUGGAUGCUGUUUGUAGGUCACUGUUGGUCUCGACUAUGGAUGAAAUAGUUUGGUCAUCUCAUGGUCAUCUCAUCUUAUAGGGGCUAGAUUCGUGAUUUUCUGUGGAAAUUGUCGAUAAAUCCUAACCAUUGAUGUCUCUUUAGCAAGCAUAUCUGAUUGGUGGAACAGCAUGCUCAGGUCGAAAAACUGUCCGAUUGCAGUAUUUCUUGAAGUUUGUAAGUAUAUUUUGAUUUAUUUGCCAACAAUUUGUCACAGUAUUACUUUUAUUGCUUAAGGCUGUGAUUUCUUGAAUCAGAUUAACUUUUUGGUUUGUUACUGAUGUUCAACAAGCAUUAAUAGUGCUGGACACCAAUUUUUAGACUGGUAUACUAGAUUAAAUUAUCCAUUUGUUGCUGACCUGUUCUGACCAGAUCUUGAUUUGAAAGCAUUGGUAGGUUGUGAGUUGAGAGGGAACCCUCUUGAGUAAUAUUCGGAUUUGCAGUAAACCUUAUUUAUUUGUUGCAGUAGACCUGUUUAUCUAAUGCUGAAGAUUAUGUGAACUUGUCAUGUAAGACAUAAGGUUCAAAAUGGUAUUUAUAAUGGUUCCAAGAAUUACUAGCAUGGGCGGGCAUACAAUGUGACGGAUAAUCGCCUUCUUAAAGAGCUGGUUCUUUUAUGUUGGUAAACAAGGCUCAACCUUCCACCUCUUCUUUCUCCUAGCUUUCUACUUGAGAGAGGAGCAAUAGGCGAGACAUAUAUGGAAGGUCUACUACAUUGCUGGCACCCGAUCUGCAUUCAUUGUAAGUUGGAGAGGUCAUCACCAGAGGAGAAGAGGUGCAGGGAUCUUCUCCUCUUUUUUGCGUGCAUGUAUAUUAAUGAGAUGAUGGGCAAGUUGUGAAAUUACUCCUCUUCUUUGCGUGUCAACUUCUCUAGCAAUAGAAUUCAUUGGAUUUGGAGGCUGAUGAUAGUUUCAAGAUAAAGAUGGUAUCGAUAAAGGUACGAUUUUGACUUCGAGAACCCAAAUUCUCAAAGUUUCUAUUUUGCUUGUCAAAAAUCAGGAGUUGUUUGCUCAAUACUCGAAUGUGUCACAUUUUUACAUUUUCUCCUUGACAAAAUUCAGACCAUAAAUACAUGGGCUCUUUUACAUGAACUACCAGUUUAUGUGUGAAUCUUAUUGUGCUUUUUCUAUAAAUCAUGACAGUGACACCUCUACUUUUGCUCCCAUUUUUAUGUGCUGUGUAUGUUGCUUAAUAUUUUAUUUGACAAAUGUGGUUGGUUCUCUUAGUACACUUUCAAAUAGUAUCAUAUGCAGUUCCCAUGAGAUAAUGACAUGAUCUUCUGAAAAUGCAUUUGCAUAAUCUCAGAACCGAACUAGUAGACUAAUCCCUGUAUAGCUCCUAUCCCUUUUUAUAUUAGAUCAAGUUCAGAACCAGAAGAAUUUCGCUUUGUUUUGUCUGCUGGCCAUCAGUUAUGGUUAUAUUCUUGGGACAUACUGUGUGGUAAUUCCAAUCCUUCAAUCAUUUAAUCAUUUUUUGUUAACCUUGUUGGUUACAUUGAUCUGCAUGACUUUCCAUUGGCUUGGAAAACAUUUCUGCAUGUUGUUCUGGAUACUUUACCAUUUCUUUUUCAACCUCUCUUUCUCUUUAAUUUUCAUGAUUUCAUGCCUGAGCAUGUUUGUUAAUGUAUUACGUGCGGGCGGGGCCUGGUGCAAUGGUAAGGUUGCUCCAUUUGACCUGUGCAUCAUGUAUUCGAAACACCUCAGAUGCUAAGUGGCAGAAACCUUGGGGAUGCCUUUUUUUGUUUUCUUGAAUGUAUUAUGUAUCAUAAAGGUAAGGCUUGUGAUAUGUCGGGAUGAUUAUAUUCUAUUAAGUUGUGAAUGAUUGUUUUAUGAUUAUUAUUUUUAGGAUGUAGUCUUAUCUUCUAAAGUUCAAAUGGACCAACAAUUAGCAUAUCUGGUUGACUCGGUGAUUUAUUUUUCGAACUGAGGUUGGCUCGUUACAAAGCCAAAUAUUGUGUAUUCUAGGUAAAUUGUCUGUUUUGGUUUCUUAGGACUCACUUCUCGUAGGCUAAACAUGAUUCCUUUUUUGGCUUCCAAAAAGGCUCCAUUUAUUUUUAUACAAGAAUUGACUUGUGUCUGGCCUGUAGUGGAUAUAGCUUUGUGUUCUUUAUUAUUGGAAGCCAUUCUUUUCUUUUCUUUUUCUUUUUUCUAACAUUUUUUAAUAUUUUUUUCUUUUUUUAAUAAAAAACGUUGUCUUCUUGCACCUUCCAUGCUAGACCUAAUGAUUUCUAUUGAACACAGAUAAUUCCUUGACCUGUACGUGGUUUGACGGCCAUACUCUUUCUGGUUCCCUUUAGAUGAGAUGAAGUUUCUUGAUUCCACCUAGUUUGAGACUAAGUUUGUUUAAUUUAUUUACAUAAAUAGUACACUUGUAUUGCGUUCAGAUGAUAAUGUACUUGCUUGAGUUUCUAUUGUCCGCCGGCCUUUGUAGUUUAGGUAAUUAUGGAUAGCCACUCUCUUUGCCAGCUAUCCCUUUUUAACCCCAACUUUUAUGUUGAUUAUACACUUUGCAUUCCGCUUUAUUCAUGGUAAAUCUACUUCAUCAGUUUUUGUGGCUCGGACCUUCAAACUGCAUCAUCCUAGAAUUUUACCAAACUCAUAAAAACUGUUCAAGUAUAUUCGUGUCUGCUGUUGUCUUACUUAUCUAUUUAUCUUCUGAGCUAUUGCUGACCCUAUGCAGCAGCUAAAGUCCGAACCUUUUGGGUGAUGAUGACAUCUUUACUCCUUUCUUUGAUAGCCUUUAAAUGAAAUAUUACAGCUCCUAGCCAUCUUAUCUUAUAGGGCUUGAUUCGUGAUUUUCUGUGGAAGCUGUCCUCGAUAAAUCCUAACCAUUGAUGUCUCUUUAGCAAGCAUAUCUGAUUGGUGGAACAGCGUGCUCAGGCGAGGCAUUUUUGGAAGGUCUACUACACUGCUGACAACCAAUCUGCAUUCAUUAAUUCAUAUGAUUUGGAGGCUGAUGAUAGUUUCGAGAUAAAGAUGGUAUCAAUAAAGGUUGGGAGGGAACCCUCUUGGUUCACGUAUCCAAAAGCUCCAAAAGAAUUUGGAAUCGGUACGGGCCGAUACGGUUAGCCGGUUCGGGCCGGUACGGGUUUUUAACACCGAACCAGACCUUUCCAAGCCAGUAUCGGUUCGGUACGGGCUGAACCGGCCGCAAUAGGUGAGGCAUUUUCGGAAGGUCUACUACAUUGCUGGCAACCAAUCUGCAUUCAUUGUAAGUUGGAGAGGUCAUCACCCGAGGAGAAGAGGAGCGGGGAUCUUCUCCUCUUUUUUGUGUAUAAUUUGUAGGAUUUGGAGGCCGAUGAUAGUUUCGAAAUAAAGAUGGUAUCAAUAAAGUGGUAAGGUUGCUCCAUUUUGACCUGUGCAUAUUAUGAGUUCGAACCACCUCUCGAGAUCCUGUGGGGCAGAAACCUUGGGACGCCUUUUUUUUUCUUUUGAAUUUAUUAUGUCUAAUAAGGGGUGUAGCCAUAUCUGCUGAAGUUCAAAUGGACCAACAAUAAGCAUAUGUUGGUUGACUCUGAUUUAUUUUUGGAUCUGAGAUUGACUUGUUACAAAGCCAAAUAUCGUGUAUUCUAGGUAAAUUUUCUGUUUUGAUUUCUUAGUACUCACUUCUCAGCUAUUGUUGGACCCUAUGCUGCAGCAAAAGUCCGAACUUUUUGGGUGAAGAUGACAGCAUCUUUACUCAUUCCUGUGUUAUCCUUCAAAUGAACUAUUUCUACUCCUGGUCAUCUCAUUUUAUAGGGGCUAGAUUCGUGAUUUUCUGUGGAAGCUGUCCUUGAUAAAUCCUAACCAUUGAUGUCUCUUAAGCAAGCAUAUCUAAUUGGUGGAACAACAUGCAAAGGUCAAAAAACUGUCCGAUCGCAGUAUUUCUUUAAGUACGUAAGUAUAUUUUGAUUUAUUUCCCAACAAUUUGUCUUACUAUUACCUUUAUUGCUUAUGGCUGUGCUUUCUUCAAUCAGAUUGGCUUUUUGAUCUGUUCUUGAUGUUCAACAAGCAUCAAUAGAGCUAGUCAUAUUUUAGAUUGGUAUACUAGAUUAAGUUAUUCAUGUGUUGCUGACCGGUUCUGACCAUAUCUUGAUUUGAAAGUACUCGUAGGUUGUGAGCUGGGAGGGAACCCUCUUGAGUCAUAUUCAGAUUUGCGGUAAACCUUAUUUAUUUAUUGCAGUAGACCUGAUUAUCUAAUGCUCGAGAUUUUGUGAGCUUGUCAUGCAAGACAUAAGCUUCAAAAUGGCUUUUAUAAUGGUUCCAUGCCUUAGAUGGAGCACGGGCAGGCAUACAAUGUGACGGAUAAUCGCCUUCUCAAAGAGUUGGUUCUUUUCUCUUCUUUGCGUGUCAGCUUCUCUAGCAAUAGGCGAGGAACUUCUGGAAGUGGUGAAUUUGAGCCUCUUCUUCCUCUUCCCUUUUUUCCUUUUAAUUUCUUGUUUUUUGAAGAUUAUGUUUUUUUAUGACUUCUUUAAUUACAUAACUGUAAUUAUAUUUCUUUUGAUGUGUUUUUUCUUCUGUUCCUGAAGAACUCAUAGGAUUUGGAGGCUGAUGAAAGUUUUGGGAUAAGGAUGCUAUAAAAAAUGGUACGAUUUUGACUUCGAGAACCCAAAUCCUCAAAGUUUGUAUUUUGCUUGUCAAAAAUCAGGUGUUGUUUGCUCAAUAACAGGCUGUCACAUUUUUACAUGUUUCAAAUCUACUCGCAUUCCAACCUCAUUUUUUCAGUUUUCCUGACUCUUCUUUUUUAUUUCACUUAUUCUUUCCCGGGUAAUUUUUGGUCUUGCAUGGAUUCUGUCAUCCUUCAUUAUUCUCUAUUUUCCAUCUUUUCUUCAAGUAAUAGUGUGAAAAAAGACGAAGUGGCUUGCUUAGAGGCCAACUAGUGCUGGCGAUAACUUUAAGUUCCAUUUUUGCGCUUCAUUUAUGUAGGAGUUGCAGAAGCCGAGGUAGAAAUUUCUCUAGAGUUGGUAUUAACUAGGGUAAUCUCUUUGGACUUUCCCAUGAUGAUGUCCUUAGUCUUGGUAACAGUUAUCCAAUCAAUCAAUUAUUUAUUCUGGUCCUUUGUCUACUUUUAUUUUUCCUGAUCUUGCUACUUAUCUCUGUAUAUCUGGUGGUAAUUUGAUUCACUUGUAAACUUUUAUGCUUCAGAGGCCUGGAUCAUACUCUAUUGCUAUGUGGUGGUCUAUCGGUUGCUGCUGCAGGAAUUUCUAUACAAUAGUUUGAAUUUGAUUUUCCACUACAACUGUUCAUGAAAUACUCUUUCCUUAUAAACUUAUUACUAUUGUUUGACUACUAGAAUUAUUCCGAAUUUGUUAUUUAUAAGAUUCACUUCUAUUUAUUUGCCCCUUUUUCUUCAUAGCUAUUUAUUUGCCCCUUUUUCUUCCUAGCUAUUUCGUAGUAUUAUUUGCUAAUCAAAUUGGAAAGGGCGGAAAUAAAAUAUAAAAAUUUUAUGCUUUGCAAGUUGGAAGGUCCAUUGUUCUGCAGGCUACUGCUGCAGCCUAUUGGAGACUGGACAAGAUUUUUGGAUCGCUAUAUGCCUUUCCUCCUACUCAACUCUGUAUACCAUUUCUUUUCCUACUCUUCUGUUGGUUGAUUUGUUCAUUAAAUAUUGCACUUUAUUCUUUUAUUGACAGCUUUUGAAUUUAUAUGUUAAGGCCAUUUUCUCCAGAAGGUUGUGAUGAUUCUUGGACCCGGGUUUUGCUAUGAAAGGAAAGCGGCUAUUUUCUUGACGACGAGGCAAUCUUGGAUUUGGCAUUCUUGGCUGUUUGUGGGACUCCGUUUAAUUUGGUUCUGGUGGUUAUGUUCUAUAUUGUUUCGAUGUGCUCUCUCUCCCUCUUUUCAAUUGUUAAUGUUCUGGCUUGUGAAAUGAUCUCUGACAUGCUCAAUUCAUGGGAAAUCAUAAACCAUUAACCUUAAAAGGUUGCUAUUUAGGAUUUCUCCGGAGGCUUAUUUCGUUAAAUGCUAAGACUAGUUCUCUGGUUCUUCAUAUAAAGAGUUUGGAUUAUUUUAUUGCU